GAUGAACGCUGGCGGCGUGCCUAAUACAUGCAAGUCGAGCGAACAGAUGAGAAGCUUGCUUCUCUGAUGUUAGCGGCGGACGGGUGAGUAACACGUGGGUAACCUACCUAUAAGACUGGGAUAACGCCGGGAAACCGGGGCUAAUACCGGAUAAUAUUUUGAACCGCAUGGUUCAAUAGUGAAUGACGGUUGUGGCUGUCACCUAUAGAUGGACCGGCGCCGUAUUAGCUAGUUGGUAAGGUAACGGCUAGCAAGGCGACGAUACGUAGCCGACCUGAGAGGGUGAUCGGCCACACUGGAACUGAGACACGGUCCAGACUCCUACGGGAGGCAGCAGGAGGGAAUCUUCCGCAAUGGGCGAAAGCCUGACGGAGCAACGCCGCGUGAGUGAUGAAGGUCUUCGGAUCGUAAAACUCUGUUGUUAGGGAAGAACAAAUUUGUUAGUAACUGAACAAGUCUUGACGGUACCUAACCAGAAAGCCACGGCUAACUACGUGCCAGCAGCCGCCGUAA
rnacentral:rRNA from 1 species